CCUACGGGUGGCUGCAGUGAGGAAUAUUGGUCAAUGGCCGCAGGGCUGAACCAGCCAAGUCGCGUGAGGGAUGACGGUCCUAUGGAUUGUAAACCUCUUUUGUCAGGGAGCAAAGGGCGCCACGUGUGGCGUUUUGCGAGUACCUGAAGAAAAAGCAUCGGCUAACUCCGUGCCAGCAGCCGCGGUAAUACGGAGGAUGCGAGCGUUAUCCGGAUUUAUUGGGUUUAAAGGGUGCGCAGGCGGAAUGUCAAGUCAGCGGUAAAAUUUCGGGGCUCAACCCCGUCGUGCCGUUGAAACUGGCGUUCUUGAGUGAGCGAGAAGUAUGCGGAAUGCGUGGUGUAGCGGUGAAAUGCAUAGAUAUUACACAGAACACCGAUUGCGAAGGCAGCUUGCUAGGCCGGAUCUGACACUGAUGCACGAAAGCGUGGGGAUCGAACAGGAUUAGAUACCCGUGUAGUC
rnacentral:rRNA from 1 species